rnacentral:rRNA from 1 species
AUACGUAGGGGGCGAGCGUUGUCCGGAAUGAUUGGGCGUAAAGGGCGCGUAGGCGGCCCGGUAAGUCUGGAGUGAAAGUCCUGUUUUUAAGAUGGGAAUUGCUUUGGAUACUGUCGGGCUUGAGUGCAGGAUAGGUAAGUGGAAUUCCCAGUGUAGCGGGGAAAUGCGUAGAGAUUGGGAGGAACACCGGUGGCGAAGGCGACUUACUGGACUGUAACUGACGCUGAGGCGCGAAAGUGUGGGGAGCAAACAGGAUUAGAUACCCUGGUAGUCCACACUGUAAACGAUGAAUGCUAGGUGUAGGGGGUAUCGACCCCUUCUGUGCCGCAGUCAACACAAUAAGCAUUCCGCCUGGGGAGUACGGCCGCAAGGUUGAAACUCAAAUGAAUUGACGGGG